CCUACGGGAGGCAGCAGUGGGGAAUCUUGCGCAAUGGCCGAGAGGCUGACGCAGCGACGCCGCGUGGGGGAUGAAGCAUUUCGGUGUGUAAACCCCUGUUGCUCGGGACGAACGAUCCUUUUCGAGGGAUGUGACGGUACCGAGUGAGGAAGCACCGGCUAACUCCGUGCCAGCAGCCGCGGUAAUACGGAGGGUGCGAGCGUUGUCCGGAAUCACUGGGCGUAAAGGGCGCGUAGGUGGUUGGAUGCGCCGGUGGUGAAAGCGCAGGGCUCAACCCUGCGUCGGCCAUCGGGACGGUCCGACUGGAGCACUGUAGAGGCAGGUGGAAUUCCGGGUGUGGCGGUGGAAUGCGUAGAGAUCCGGAAGAACACCGGUGGCGAAGGCGGCCUGCUGGGCAGUUGCUGACACUGAGGCGCGACAGCGUGGGGAGCAAACAGGAUUAGAUACCCUGGUAGUCCACGCCGUAAACGAUGGGCACUAGGUGCUUGGGGGAGCGACCCCCUGAGUGCCGACGCUAACGCAUUAAGUGCCCCGCCUGGGGAGUACGACCGCAAGGUUGAAACUCAAAGGAAUUGACGG
rnacentral:rRNA from 1 species